GGUGACGAAGCCAGAAAAAACUGAUGAUUCAUUAGUCUGACCCUGGACAAGAGGAAGACGCAUUUAAUUUAGUAUCGGUUAUUGCCAGAAUCUGCCUCAUCUGAAUUUUUCCCUGGAUGCUUUCUGUCUCUGGAUAAUUUUCAUUCUCAGAUAAGUUUUGGGGUUGUUUGGUCUAUUUAUUUAUUUAUUUAUUUAUUGUGAGUACUAGAGCUCCAUAAAUGAAACUGAGGAAAAGGAACAGUCCGUAGUUUGUUAUUGGCAGUAUCAGAAUUUACCAAAACUAGGUUUCUAUUUAUUUGGGAAUUCAGAGUUCACUAUUAAUUUUAUCUAACUCACCUGUCUGUCACUUGCUGAUGCUGAACUUUAUCUUUCAUUUGAAAACUUUUUGUUUUGUUUUGUUAUGUAUUUCAGAAAAAUAUUGCUGAAAUAUUUGCUGAAAUUUUGCUAUACUGAAUUGAAAACUGUCAUUGUCUUACAUUACUUUCUUCCUGCUAUACCACAGUCAGGAAACUUACAGCAGUGCCUCAUCAUCUUCUAUACUUAAGCAAGAUCUUACCAAUACAUAGGGCACUACAAUAAGGUACCAGAGAGACAGGCCUUUAAUUACUUUUAUAGUGAAUGUUCAACUCACUUUUGGCCACUAAGGUUCUUUUCUUUUCAAAAGCUCCUUAAAUCUUCAUCUUGUUUAAUGCACAUUAUUUCUGCAUUAUGAAUUCUUAGAAGAUUCUCUUUGGGGCUUUGUAACAUUCUGCUUAGUGUCUUUUGCAAUUUACAGGAUUUAUUAAGUUAUUCCCUAAGAAAUGUUAAAGGUCUCUCAAUUGCUGUAAUAUCCUUUCUGCUGAUUACCUUUGGCAAUGAAGGUAGAACUUUUUAUCUUAGUACUUAGAUACUGAAUCUUGAAGAUUUGUUUGUUUAUUUACUUAUUUAUUUAUUCCCUGAUAAUUUUGUUUUACCAGAAUCGGUCUAUAUGUUGAUAGUACUUUUACUGCAUAGAAAUAAAUCUUGUGUCAUAUCAGAGGGAGAAAAAAUGCAGACUCUUGAAAAGAAUUUCCACUUAUGUUCUUGUACAGUCUGUAAUUCAUGCAUUUUUUGAGAGGCUGCAGAUACAAUGCCUAAACGUUCUGUCAUUUUGUGUUUCAGUUGUAGUCUUCUUGAAACUGAAGUUAAAAGGAGAGUUUUGAAAGAGAUGCUAAAAAGGAAGAUUAAUGAUGGAAGAUGAAAAAAUCAGCAAUAAUUGAGUGGAGGAGAUGGUUAGAGGAGAAUAUAAGGGUAGUUGGGAACUUGCUCUCCUGUGAGCUCGGCCUCAUGUUCAGGUUGCUGUGACUUAACAAGCUGUAACUGGUUCCCAUGAAAUAGGACUCUCAUCUACACCUACUUUUGGCCAUCCACAAAAACAAAGACUUUCAAAUCUGCAGUGGGAUUCAAUGCACCCUCAGUAAAUUUGUGAGUGAUAUGAAGCUGUGUGGUCUGUUUGUGGCGUGACUGACACACCUACAGGAUAGAAUGACGUCCAGAGAAAUCCAGACAGGCUGAAGCAGUGGUCCCAGAUAACCUCAUGAGGUUCAACAAAGCCAAGUGCAAGUCAUUGCACCUGCACUGCAGCAACUUCCCUUAUCAGUACAAACUGUUGGUGAAAGGAUGAAAUACAGCCCAUUCAGAAAGGACUAGGAACUGGUGGAUGGCAAGCUGGACAUGAGCUAACAAUGUGCCCAGAAAGCCAACUGUUACAGUGGGCUGUAUCAAAAUAAACGCACCCAGCAUGGCAAGGGAGAUGGUCCUGCCCCUCUGCUCUACACUGGUGAGAUCUCACUUGGAGUACUGCACUCAUUUGUGAAUUCUUCAGUAAAGGACAGACAUGGAACUCUUGGAUACAUCCAAAGGAGGGAUACAAAAAUGAUCCAAGGGAUGAAAAAUCUCACCUUUGAGGACAGGCUUAGAGAACAUCUGGGGCUGUUCAGCUUGGAGAAGAGAAGACUCCAGGGAGAUCUGGUAGAGGCCUUUCAGUACCUAAGGGGAGUUUAUAAGAAAGAAGGGAAAAGACUCCUUACAGAAACUAUUGUGACAGGAGAAGGGAAAAUGAUUUCAAACUAAAGUGAGGAGAGAUUUAGUUUGAUUGAGGAAGUGUUUUUUUAUAAUAAGAGCAGUGAAACACUGAUAUGGGCUGCCCAGAGAGGUGGUGGAUUCCCUAUCCCUGGAGACAUUCAAGAUCAGAGUGAACCAGGCUCUGAGCAACCUGAUCCAGCUGCAGAUGCUGUUCACUACAGGGAAGUUGAACAAGUUGACCUUUAAAUGUCCCUUCCAACUUGAAUGAUUCUGUGAUUCUACGAAACAUGUCUUCAGGGCAGAGAUCAGCUAUACUAUUACCUAUUAGCUCUGGCGUGUCAAUAUUCUCUAUCAUUAUUUUUAAAACAUGCUGAUCUUUCAUUUAUCUUCAACUCCAAAAAGAAUUAAAAUAAGUCUUUAAUUGUGUUUGAUUUCCUAAGAGAGGGAGCAAAAGAGGUGAAAAACAGUGAGUUUUGGGGUGGUUUUUAUUCAUCACACAGAGGAUUACAGUCCUACCCCACCUCUUAGACAUUUCACUAUUUGAAAUAAAAAAGUGUAUCAUAAGACUGAAAAAAUGUGAUUCCAGCAUGGAUUCUGUAGCAUCAGUGUCAUCCAAAUACAGACACAAAAGCCAUUAACUUUCCCAACACAAUUUGAAUUAGGCAUUAUACCACACACAGGGCCUUCUUUCUGACCUACAAAGCCCAAACCCUUGCAGUUUUGGUAUUUAUUGUACUUUGAAGUGACAGAAGUCCUUUCUCUUUGUCAUGAUCAACUGUAUAAAUGAGGGGAAAAUAAAGGAUGUUGUGUACCUGGCCUUUGGCAAGGCAUUUGACCCCCUUGCAUAACAUCCUCAUAGGUAAGCUUAAGAAAUAUGGGACAGAUGAGUGGGUCAUUAUUUAUAUAUAUAUAUAUAAAGGGCAAGUACCAAGUGGAUGGGGACAGUCUCUUUUCAGUGGUGCCCAGUGGUAGGACAAUGGUCAGCAGUCACUAGAUGAAAUAAAGGAAGUUCCAUCUGAAAAUGAGAAAGAACUUCUUUACUGUGAGGCUGACAGAGUGCUGCAAAAGGCUACUCAGAAAGAUUAUGGAGUCUCUUUCUCUGGAGAUAAACAAAACCCAUUUGAAUGCUUUCUUGUGUAACCUACUUGAAGGAACUUACUUUAGCAGGGGUUUGAACUAGAUGAUUUCCAGUGAUUCAUUCCAAUCUCCAUUCCUAUUGACAGCAUAAAAUCUGUUUCAGGAAUUGUGAUCCCAACACAACCAUCUUUAUGUUGGAGAAUUUCAGAAUUUCCAUGUAAGAGAUCUGUCCUGUACCUAAUAAGCUGCUGAACUGGUAAUGAUUUUGAGAGAAUAAACUCAUUGAUUUCUGCAAGGGCUGCUCCAGAAGUAAUAUGUCCUAUUUUAUUUUGUUCCACAGUGUCAGAGGAGGUUGAUGGCGUGGUUGUAGAUGUUGAACCUUCCUACCAGUAUUCCAUUGCUUAUUUUUUUCUC